AUGCAUACCUGUCGCCUCUCUCCUCAUGGACAGGUGACAGUUAUGCAUAGUGCCUGUCGCCUCUUUCCUCAUGGACAGGUGACAGGUGUCCAUAGUGCCUAUCGCCUCUCUCCUCAUGGACAGGUGACAGUUGUGCAUAGUUCCUGUCACCUGUCAGGUGUGCAUAGUGCCUAUCGCCUCUCUCCUCAUGGACAGGUGACAGGUGUGCAUAGUGCCUAUCGCUUCUCUCCUCAUGGACUGGUGACAGGUGUGUGUAGUUACUGUCGCCUCUCUCCUCAUGGACAGGUGACAGGUGUCCAUAGUGUCUAUCGCCUCUCUCCUCAUGGACAGGUGACCAUUAUGCAUAGUGCCUAUCGCCUUUCUCCUCAUGGACAGGUGACAGGUGUGCAUAGUUACUGUCGCCUCUCUCCUCAUGGACAGGUGACAGGUGUGCAUAGUGCCUAUCGCCUCUCUCCUCAUGGACAGGUGACAGGUGUCCAUAGUGCCUAUCGCCUCUCUCCUCAUGGACAGGUGACAGGUGUGCAUAGUGCCUAUCGCCUCUCUCCUCAUGGACUGGUGACAGAACAUCAACUCGAAAGACUGCUUCGAAGUUUUAGAAGCCUUUCCUUUACACUAACCAGGACAGAAAUGAUUAUCUUAGCCACUAGAACACAGAAUGUUCUUGGUGAGAAGGGCCGGUGGAUUCGGGAACUCACUGCUGUAGUUCAGAAGACGUUUGGCUUUCCAGAGGGCAGUGUAGAGCUUUAUGCUGACAAGGUGGCCACUAGGGGUCGUGACAUUGCCCAGGCAGAGUCUCUGCGUUCCUAGGAGGGCUUGCUGUGAGGAGGGCCUGGCUAUGGUGUGUUGCAGUUCAUCAUGGAGAGUGGGGCUAAAGGCUGCGAGGUGGUGGUGUCUGGGAAACUCCGAGGACAGAGGACUAAAUCCAUGAAGUUUGUGGGUGGCCUGAUGAUCCACAGCGGAGACCCUGUUAAUUACUACAUUGAUACUGCCGUGCACCAUGUGUUGCUCAGAUAGGGUGUGCUGGGCAUCAAGGUGAAGAUCAAGCUGUCCUGGGACCCAACUGGUGAGAUUGGCCCUAAGAAGCCCCUGCCUGACCACAUGAGCAUCAUGGAACCCAAAGAUGAGAUACUGCCCACCACCCCAUCUUAGAACAGAAGGGGGGGAAGCCAGAGCCACCUGCCAUGCCGCAGCCAGUCCCCACAGCAUAACAGGGUCUCCUUGGCAGCUGUAUUCUGGAGUCUCAAUGUUGCUCUGUAAAGACCUUUAAUAAAAUAUUGCAGAAAGAC